rnacentral:rRNA from 1 species
CCUACGGGAGGCAGCAGUGGGGAAUCUUGCACAAUGGAGGAAACUCUGAUGCAGCGAUGCCGCGUGAGUGAAGAAGGCCUUUGGGUUGUAAAGCUCUUUUGUAGGGGAAGAUAAUGACUGUACCCUAAGAAUAAGGUCCGGCUAACUUCGUGCCAGCAGCCGCGGUAAUACGAAGGGACCUAGCGUAGUUCGGAAUUACUGGGCGUAAAGCGCGCGUAGGCCGUUGAGUUAGUUAAUUGUGAAAUCCCAAAGCUUAACUUUGGAACUGCAAUUAAAACUGCUCGACUAGAGUUUGAUAGAGGAAAGCGGAAUACAUGGUGUAGAGGUGAAAUUCGUAGAUAUUAUGUAGAACACCAGUUGCGAAGGCGGCUUUCUGGAUCAACACUGACGCUGAGGCGCGAAAGUAUGGGUAGCAAAGAGGAUUAGAUACCCUCGUAGUCCAUACCAUAAACGAUGAUUGCUAGAUGUUGGAAAUUUAUUUUCAGUAUCGCAGCUAACGCAUUAAGCAAUCCGCCUGGGGAGUACGACCGCAAGGUUAAAACUCAAAGGAAAUUGACGGCNGAGAGNGCGACGACGACGACGAGGAGAG